rnacentral:rRNA from 1 species
GACCCCGUGAACCUUUACUGCAGCUUGACACUGAACUUUGACCUUACUUGUGUAGGAUAGGUGGGAGGCUUUGAAGCUGGAACGCUAGUUCCAGUGGAGCCGUCCUUGAAAUACCACCCUGGUAAUGUUGAGGUUCUAACUCUGUCCCGUGAUCCGGGACGAGGACCGUGUCUGGUGGGUAGUUUGACUGGGGCGGUCUCCUCCUAAAGAGUAACGGAGGAGUACGAAGGUGCGCUCAGCGUGGUCGGAAAUCACGCGUAGAGUAUAAAGGCAAAAGCGCGCUUAACUGCGAGACCCACAAGUCGAGCAGGUACGAAAGUAGGUCUUAGUGAUCCGGUGGUUCUGUAUGGAAGGGCCAUCGCUCAACGGAUAAAAGGUACUCUGGGGAUAACAGGCUGAUACCGCCCAAGAGUUCAUAUCGACGGCGGUGUUUGGCACCUCGAUGUCGGCUCAUCUCAUCCUGGGGCUGAAGCAGGUCCCAAGGGUAUGGCUGUUCGCCAUUUAAAGAGGUACGCGAGCUGGGUUUAGAACGUCGUGAGACAGUUCGGUCCCUAUCUACCGUGGGCGCUGGAAAUUUGAGAGGAUCUGCUCCUAGUACGAGAGGACCAGAGUGGACGAACCUCUGGUGUACCGGUUGUGACGCCAGUCGCAUCGCCGGGUAGCUAUGUUCGGAAGGGAUAACCGCUGAAAGCAUCUAAGCGGGAAGCCUACCUCAAGAUAAGAUUUCCCUAGGACUUUAUGUCCUCUAAAGAGCCGUUCGAGACUAGGACGUUGAUAGGUUGGAUGUGGAAGCAUAGUGAUAUGUGAAGCUGACCAAUACUAAUUGCUCGUGAGGCUUGACUAUACAACACCCAAGCAGUUG